rfam:Endozoicomonas sp. S-B4-1T isolate SB41TT1 genome assembly, contig: SB41TT_contig_12
GGACCGGUAGUUCAGUUGGUUAGAAUACCGGCCUGUCACGCCGGGGGUCGCGGGUUCGAGUCCCGUCCGGUCCG